GAUGAACGCUGGCGGCGUGCCUAAUACAUGCAAGUCGAGCGAACAGACGAGGAGCUUGCUCCUCUGACGUUAGCGGCGGACGGGUGAGUAACACGUGGAUAACCUACCUAUAAGACUGGGAUAACUUCGGGAAACCGGAGCUAAUACCGGAUAACAUGUUGAACCGCAUGGUUCAACAGUGAAAGACGGUCUUGCUGUCACUUAUAGAUGGAUCCGCGCCGCAUUAGCUAGUUGGUAAGGUAACGGCUUACCAAGGCAACGAUGCGUAGCCGACCUGAGAGGGUGAUCGGCCACACUGGAACUGAGACACGGUCCUGACUCCUACGGGAGGCAGCAGUAGGGAAUCUUCCGCAAUGGGCGAAAGCCUGACGGAGCAACGCCGCGUGAGUGAAGAAGGUCUUCGGAUCGUAAAACUCUGUUAUUAGGGAAGAACAAAUGUGUAAGUAACUAUGCACGUCUUGACGGUACCUAAUCAGAAAGCCACGGCUAACUACGUG
rnacentral:rRNA from 1 species